UACGUAGGGAGCGAGCGUUAUCCGGAUUUACUGGGUGUAAAGGGCGCGUAGGCGGGAAUGCAAGUCAGAUGUGAAAUCUCCGGGCUCAACCCGGAAACUGCAUUUGAAACUGUAUUUCUUGAGUGAUGGAGAGGCAAGCGGAAUUCCUAGUGUAGCGGUGAAAUGCGUAGAUAUUAGGAAGAACACCAGUGGCGAAGGCGGCUUGCUGGACAUUAACUGACGCUGAGGCGCGAAAGCGUGGGGAGCAAACAGG
rnacentral:rRNA from 1 species